rnacentral:rRNA from 1 species
GAUGAACGCUGGCGGCGUGCCUAAUACAUGCAAGUCGAGCGAACAGAUAAGGAGCUUGCUCCUUUGACGUUAGCGGCGGACGGGUGAGUAACACGUGGGUAACCUACCUAUAAGACUGGAAUAACUCCGGGAAACCGGGGCUAAUGCCGGAUAACAUUUAGAACCGCAUGGUUCUAAAGUGAAAGAUGGUUUUGCUAUCACUUAUAGAUGGACCCGCGCCGUAUUAGCUAGUUGGUAAGGUAACGGCUUACCAAGGCAACGAUACGUAGCCGACCUGAGAGGGUGAUCGGCCACACUGGAACUGAGACACGGUCCAGACUCCUACAGGAGGCAGCAGUAGGGAAUCUUCCGCAAAGGGCGAAAGCCUGACGGAGCAACGCCGCGUGAGUGAUGAAGGUCUUCGGAUCGUAAAACUCUGUUAUUAGGGAAGAACAAAUGUGUAAGUAACUGUGCACGUCUUGACGGUACCUAAUCAGAAAGCCACGGCUAACUACGUG